GAACGCUAGCGACAGGCCUAACACAUGCAAGUCGAGGGGCAGCACGAAGUAAGCUUGCUUACUUUGGUGGCGACCGGCGCACGGGUGCGUAACAGGUGUGCAAUCUGUCCAUAAUCGGGGAAUAGCCCAGCGAAAGUUGGAUUAAUGCUCCAUGUGAGUUUUAGAGGCAUCUCUUUAAUUUGAAACGUAAGGAUUAUGGGUGAGCACGCUUCUGAUUAGGUAGUUGGUGAGGUAACGGCCCACCAAGGCAACGAUCAUUAGGGGUUCUGAGAGGAAGGUCCCCCACACUGGAACUGAGACACGGUCCAGACUCCUACGGGAGGCAGCAGUGAGGAAUAUUGGUCAAUGGAGGCAACUCUGAACCAGCCAAGUAGCGUGCAGGACGACGGCCCUAUGGGUUGUAAACUGCUUUUAUGCGGGGAUAAAUGAUCCUACGUGUAGGAUUUUGCAGGUACCGCAUGAAUAAGGACCGGCUAAUUCCGUG
rnacentral:rRNA from 1 species